CUAACCGCCCGAAAGGUGGAAUUGAACCACUCUGCCGCUAGGCAGCUACAGGUUUGAAGCCUGCACCCCGGACCACCGAGGUUCAUCCGGGCAUUUGAAGAGGUUGGCACUACUUCUAUAUAAAGGUCGCUGCUACGCUAUGUGUUACAUCUAUGUAAACAGAAGCCCAGAAGGCAGCCGUCACUCACCCCUUCUGUUUCAAUGGCAGCUCCAACUUAAAUAUUGUGGCAUCAUUCACAACUGCUUUGUAUGCCUGGGGGAAAUUAUAAACUAUAUGUUACAAGUCAUUAAAAAGAUCUCUGGUAACCAUCUGCGGUGUGAUCUAGUCAUGCAGGCUACUUACUGAGACCAACUGUAAGACAGUGAGAAUGAAUACAGAUGGGGCGACACACUCACUUUGUCUCUGGCUGUCAGGAACCGAGGAUCAUCCUGG